rnacentral:rRNA from 1 species
UACGGGGGGGGCAAGCGUUGUUCGGAAUUACUGGGCGUAAAGGGCUCGUAGGCGGCCAACUAAGUCGGACGUGAAAUCCCUCGGCUUAACCGGGGAACUGCGUCCGAUACUGGAUGGCUUGAGUUUGGGAGAGGGAUGCGGAAUUCCAGGUGUAGCGGUGAAAUGCGUAGAUAUCUGGAGGAACACCGGUGGCGAAGGCGGCAUCCUGGACCAUUACUGACACUGAGAAGCGAAAGCCAGGGGAGCAAACGGG